AGUCGAGGGGCAGCACGGGAGCAAUCCUGGUGGCGACCGGCAAACGGGUGCGGAACACGUACACAACUUACCCUCAUCUGGGGCAUAGCCCGUUGAAAAGCGGAUUAACUCCCCAUAGUAUUCUUGGGUGGCAUCACUUGGGAAUUAAAAAUUUAUUGGAUGAGGAUGGGUGUGCGUCCUAUUAGCUAGUUGGCGGGGUAACGGCCCACCAAGGCGACGAUAGGUAGCUGAUGUGAGAGCAUGAUCAGCCACACGGGCACUGAGACACGGGCCCGACUCCUACGGGAGGCAGCAGUGAGGAAUAUUGGUCAAUGGGCGGAAGCCUGAACCAGCCAUGCCGCGUGAAGGAUGAAGGCGUUCUGCGUUGUAAACUUCUUUUAUUGGGGAAGAAACCUGUUUUUUCUAAGACAGCCGACGGUACCCAAGGAAUAAGCACCGGCUAACUCCGUGCCAGCAGCCGCGGUAAU
rnacentral:rRNA from 1 species